rnacentral:rRNA from 1 species
UACGUAGGGGGCGAGCGUUGUUCGGAUUUACUGGGCGUAAAGGGCGCGUAGGCGGUCUUGUAAGUCAGGCGUGAAAGCCCCGGGCUUAACCUGGGAAUUGCGCAUGAUACUCUGAGACUGGAGUACGGGAGAGGAGAGUGGAAUUCCCAGUGUAGAGGUGAAAUUCGUAGAUAUUCGCAAGAACACCAGUGGCGAAGGCGGCUCACUGGCCCGGUACUGACGCUGAGGUGCGAAAGCGUGGGGAGCAAACAGG